CGGGACCUCUAGGUGGCCCUUCCCACAGAAGAGAAAAUAAUGUCACUGGUUGUUAUCAGGACAUAAACAAGUCCCCUUGACGCCAAGCAUCAGUGCAGAUAUUGUUUAGGAAAGAAAAGAAAAGAAGAAAAACCAAAUCCAACCAAAUCCGUCAAACCUCAGCUUCCUGGCUUACCACUCUUCAUUUUUCAAUUCUUUAUUAGGAAGAUGGGAAAGCUUACAAUUUUGACAAUUGCAUUUAUUUCUACAUUUUCACCCCAAACAAUGCAAUGAAUGGCAAUUCUGUCUACCCGGGCUUUCAAGCAGCUAGAUACAUGUUAGUAUUAAUUAAACACUUAAUGGACGGUGUGCAUCUGCUCCAUUGCGGUCUGUACCUCUUUCUCUACCACCAACACGGCUUCUUCCCUCAUUCCUUCUCGUCUCCAUCUCCAGCCUCACAACGGAGCAGAGGAAAUGCCGAGCAAGGGACGCAGGUGAACAGAGAGGCUGAUGCUGGGAUAAAGAGCCAGGUGUACGGAGAAGCACAGAAUGGCUGUCCUUCCUAGAUAGGUGGGAAGGAAGUGAUUGCAGGGACCCACCAUUUUUAAAGAACAUUUUUCUGGAACGCUUAACAAAAUGGGGAGAGUCCUUUGCUUCUGUCUCCAGGUUCUGCAGCCCCUGGAGUCAGCGUAUUGGAGACCAUUGGCUUUCGUAUCCGGUGAAUCUUAAAUCGACGUGCUGGCCGAUAUUCAACCUUUUCUGUGGAGAGGAACGCAGUGUGCAGUGCUUGCCAAUUUCCAGGGUGUAAAUGCUGCCCUGUCGUUGACCUCAAGCUACCAGCAUGGCGUUACUGAAUGCGACGUUGGAAAGAAGUGUUUGUUAAUGCCCACAAUACACCAUAGUUCCCUGAAUGUGACCUUAAGGGAAGUACUUAAUAAAGUAAAAUCCAACAAAAUGAUCGGAAUGAUACAAGUUCUAGAUCAUGAAUACUUUCAAAACUGUAAUAAUGAGUGUGUUUAACAACAAGGAUGUCUGCAACAUCCUUCAAAUUCAGCAGUCAGGUCUCCUAGGUUAACAGAACCCAGGCCUUGCACACCGCUCAGUUUUAAGAGUAUAACAUGCAAGUUCUCCAUUAUAACCCAGUCACAGUCCAGUAGCGGACGUGAGGCCGCAUCAGGGUUCCACAUGGUGGGUUAGGGACCCUGGUACCCUCUGUCUUGAAUCUUCAUUUCCUCUUAGGGAUCUCAGCGUCAUUCACUUCUAGCCAAGAAGGUGACUUUAAUUAACCAGGCUUGGCCAUGUUCCAAAGGCUGAGAUUCUGUCACAUGGCCAAACCUAACUGCAAGGGGAGGUUAGGAAAGUUUAACUUAGCUGUGCACCCGAGAAAGGAAGAAAGCGAGGUCUGUGAGCAUCUUG